rnacentral:rRNA from 1 species
AUUGAACGCUGGCGGCAGGCCUAACACAUGCAAGUCGAACGGUAACAGGAAGACGCUUGCUUCUUUGCUGACGAGUGGCGGACGGGUGAGUAAUGUCUGGGAAACUGCCUGAUGGAGGGGGAUAACUACUGGAAACGGUAGCUAAUACCGCAUAACGUCGCAAGACCAAAGAGGGGGACCUUCGGGCCUCUUGCCAUCGGAUGUGCCCAGAUGGGAUUAGCUAGUAGGUGGGGUAACGGCUCACCUAGGCGACGAUCCCUAGCUGGUCUGAGAGGAUGACCAGCCACACUGGAAUUGAGACACGGUCCAGACUCCUACGGGAGGCAGCAGUGGGGAAUAUUGCACAAUGGGCGCAAGCCUGAUGCAGCCAUGCCGCGUGUAUGAAGAAGGCCUUCGGGUUGUAAAGUACUUUCAGCGGGGAGGAAGGGAGUAAAGUUAAUACCUUUGCUCAUUGACGUUACCCGCAGAAGAAGCACCGGCUAACUCCGUG